rnacentral:rRNA from 1 species
UACGUAGGGUGCGAGCGUUGUCCGGAAUUAUUGGGCGUAAAGGGCUCGUAGGCGGUUUGUCGCGUCGGGAGUGAAAUCCACUGGCUUAACUGGUGGCUUGCUUUCGAUACGGGCAGACUGGAGGUAUGCAGGGGAGAACGGAAUUCCUGGUGUAGCGGUGAAGUGCGCAGAUAUCAGGAGGAACACCGGUGGCGAAGGCGGUUCUCUGGGCAUGUCCUGACGCUGAGGAGCGAAAGUGUGGGGGGCGAACAGG